rnacentral:rRNA from 1 species
GACGAACGCUGGCGGCGUGCUUAACACAUGCAAGUCGAACGAAGUGGCGAACGGGUGAGUAACGCGUAAUCAACCUGCCCUUCAGAGGGGGACACCAGUUGGAAACGACUGCUAAUACCGCAUACUGAUGGAGGGGAUUGCGUCUGAUUAGCUCGUUGGAGGGGUAACGGCCCCCCAAGGCGAUGAUCAGUAGGCGGUCUGAGAGGAAGAACGGCCAACAUGGGACUGAGAAACGGCCCAGAAUCCUACGGGAGGCAGCAGUGGGGAAACUUCCGAAAUGGACGAAAGUCUGACGGCGCACCGGCGCGUGAGUGAUGAAGGCCUUCGGGUUGUAAAGCUCUGUUAAUCGGGACGCGGUACCGGAAUAGAAAGCAACGGCUAACUACGUGCCAGCAGCCGCGGUAAUAC